GAUGAAGAACGCAGCGAAAUGCGAUAAGUAAUGUGAAUUGCAGAAUUUCGUGAAUCAUCGAAUCUUUGAACGCACAUUGCGCCCCCUGGUAUUCCGGGGGGCAUGCCUGGCCGAGCGUCAUUGCAACCCUCAAGCGCGGCUUGUGUGUUGGGCUUCGUCCCCCCGUGGACGUGCCCGAAAGGCAGUGGCGGCGUCCCGAAUGGUGCCCGAGCGUAUGGGAACUCUCUUCCGCUCGAACCGGCCCAUUCGGCGCUGGUCGAACCCCAAUUUUUUUUUACCGGUUGACCUCGGAUCAGGUAGGGAUACCCGCUGAACUUAAGCAUAUCAAUAAGCGGAGGA
rnacentral:misc_RNA from 1 species